rnacentral:rRNA from 1 species
CCAGACUCCUACGGGAGGCAGCAGUGAGGAAUAUUGGUCAAUGGGCGGGAGCCUGAACCAGCCAAGCCGCGUGAAGGAAGAAGGCUCUAGGAGUCGUAAACUUCUUUUGUCGGGGAACAAAGGGCGCCACGUGUGGCGUUCUGAGAGUACCCGAAGAAAAAGCAUCGGCUAACUCCGUGCCAGCAGCCGCGGUAAUACGGAGGAUGCGAGCGUUAUCCGGAUUUAUUGGGUUUAAAGGGUGCGUAGGCGGUCGGGAAAGUCAGAGGUGAAAGCCCGGGGCUCAACCCCGGGACUGCCUUUGGAACUGUAUGGCUGGAGUGCGGGAGGGGCAGGCGGAAUUCCUGGUGUAGCGGUGAAAUGCGUAGAGAUCAGGAGGAACACCGGCGGCGAAGGCGGCCUGC